rnacentral:rRNA from 1 species
AUUGAACGCUGGCGGCAUGCCUUACACAUGCAAGUCGAACGGCAGCACGGGAGCAAUCCUGGUGGCGAGUGGCGAACGGGUGAGUAAUGUAUCGGAACGUGCCCAGUCGUGGGGGAUAACGCAGCGAAAGCUGUGCUAAUACCGCAUACGAUCUAAGGAUGAAAGCGGGGGAUCGCAAGACCUCGCGCGAUUGGAGUGGCCGAUAUCAGAUUAGCUAGUUGGUGGGGGAAAGGCUCACCAAGGCGACGAUCGGUAGCUGGGCUGAGAGGACGGCCAAGCACACUGGAACUGAGACACGGUACAGACUCCUACGGGAGGCAGCAGUGGGGAAUUUUGGAGAAUGGGGGCAAGCCUGAUCCAGCAAUGCCGCGUGCAGGAUGAAGGCCUUCGGGUUGGAAACUGCUUUUGUACGGAGCGAAAAGGUUCUCUCUAAUACAGGGGGCUCAUGACGGUACCGUAAGAAUAAGCACCGGCUAACUACGUGCCAGCCGCCGCAGUAA